rnacentral:sRNA from 1 species
AAACGAAUCCAGCAAAUUCACACACGUGUCGGCACGUUGUCCCAGGGUGCCUCCCUUCAUGUAAUCAGAGUGAGGGCAGGUUGGGUCAAUCGGACGCGUGGAGGACUAAC